rnacentral:rRNA from 1 species
GGUUGUGCCCUUGAGGCGUGGCUUCCGGAGCUAACGCGUUAAGUAGACCGCCUGGGGAGUACGGCCGCAAGGUUAAAACUCAAAUGAAUUGACGGGGGCCCGCACAAGCGGUGGAGCAUGUGGUUUAAUUCGAUGCAACGCGAAGAACCUUACCUGGUCUUGACAUCCACGGAAGAAUUCAGAGAUGGAUUUGUGCCUUCGGGAACCGUGAGACAGGUGCUGCAUGGCUGUCGUCAGCUCGUGUUGUGAAAUGUUGGGUUAAGUCCCGCAACGAGCGCAACCCUUAUCCUUUGUUGCCAGCGGUCCGGCCGGGAACUCAAAGGAGACUGCCAGUGAUAAACUGGAGGAAGGUGGGGAUGACGUCAAGUCAUCAUGGCCCUUACGACCAGGGCUACACACGUGCUACAAUGGCGCAUACAAAGAGAAGCGACCUCGCGAGAGCAAGCGGACCUCAUAAAGUGCGUCGUAGUCCGGAUUGGAGUCUGCAACUCGACUCCAUGAAGUCGGAAUCGCUAGUAAUCGUGGAUCAGAAUGCCACGGUGAAUACGUUCCCGGGCCUUGUACACACCGCCCGUCACACCAUGGGAGUGGGUUGCAAAAGAAGUAGGUAGCUUAACCUUCGGGAGGGCGCUUACCACUUUGUGAUUCAUGACUGGGGUGAAGUCGUAACAAGGUAACCGUAGGGGAACCUGC